CCAUUCAUGGCCAUUUCCAGGAAGUCUGCCUCCAAGGAGAGGAACAUGCUCAUCUCAAGCCUGAACUCUGUUAUGCUUUGUGGGGCAGGCCCUAGGCAUUAUAUGGGUUUCUUCCAUAUCCCUGAUAAUCAGUAGCCAGCUUGAUGGGCACAUUGGUAAAAAAUGGAGACUAAUCACUAAUUUUCUGAGGGCUGGAAAUAUCUUCUAUUUAUCUUCCUAAGAAUUUGCUCAUUUCCAUUGGCAGUAAAAGUCAUGUAUUCUUCAGAAAAGGGUGACUCUUAUCUGUAAUAUGUUAAUACAUAAUUACUGCCUGGAGAUACUAACCAUUAUGCAUUCAUACCAAAAAUCUUUUAAACAUUUUUGUUUGAUCUAAAUAUGUAUAUAUGAAUUGCACUGUAUUUAGUUAUGAUGCUUUACUCCAGCACUAUCUUGUUCCUCCAGGAUGGAAGAGAAUAAACCACCUUGUUGAGGAGUGGUGAUGUAGCCAGUCAGCUGUUCAUCACUUUCAAAGAAUGUGGCUGAAGGGAGCCGCUCCUGGAACACCAGCCAGAACUUCAGAGAGUACUGGAAGCCAGGAGAAUCAGGUCACUAAAGUAGCAGGAAGAGAUUCAGAAGUCUUUGACCAAGCUGGAAGAACUGAGGAACAAGGGAAAUGUGACCAGGUCUUUCUCACCCACUCUCAGAUUAGCUUUUCCUGAUCAAAUAUUUUUCAUUCAUCUGAUCACAAUGCUUUCCUUUAUCGUACUAUCCAUAUGCCCAUCUUAAUCCUUAACAGGUCCCAGAAUAUGCUGGCAGUUUAUGGUGUGAUUUAUCCACAUAG